UACGGAGGAUGCAAGCGUUAUCCGGAAUGAUUGGGCGUAAAGCGUCCGCAGGUGGCUGUGUAAGUCUGCUGUCAAAGAGCAAAGCUCAACUUUGUAAAGGCAGUGGAAACUACACGGCUAGAGUGCGUUCGGGGCAGAGGGAAUUCCUGGUGUAGCGGUGAAGUGCGUAGAGAUCAGGAAGAACACCGGUGGCGAAGGCGCUCUGCUAGGCCGCAACUGACACUGAGGGACGAAAGCUAGGGGAGCGAACGGG
rnacentral:rRNA from 1 species